UCUGCCCUAUUCUUCCCAGAAUAGAGAGAAUCGGGAAGACUGUGGACCACAUGUCUCCAGUUCCAUUUUCCUGAGCUUACACCUUUCAAUAAGCCCACUCCACCCUGGGGUAGAGGAAGAAGGCUGGGUCAAUUCACAAGCUCUUGUGCUUCAUUUGAGCCAGAAGACACCACUGAACAGAUCAUGGUUUCAGUACCUACACUGGCUGUUUUUCAUUCAAGGUGCAAGAGUGGUUCCAAAAGCUAUGCAAGGGAUUACUUUUUGCCAAACUAAUUAUCACAAUUAUUGAGAAAUAUGACAAAGACCUAAAAGUAUCAAACAUUGCCUACAUUUGAUAGGCUUUGAAUAAAAGAUAAGUUAAUUUCAACAGGCUGUGAUUAAA
rnacentral:lncRNA from 1 species